rnacentral:rRNA from 1 species
GACAGAGGUCUCGAGCGUUAGGCGGAAUCACUGGGCUUAAAGCGUGUGUAGGCGGAUCGUUAAGUGCCUUGUGAAAUCCCACGGCUCAACCGUGGAACUGCUUGGCAUACUGGCGGUCUUGAGCAACCUAGGGGCGAGCGGAACAAAUGGUGGAGCGGUGAAAUGCGUAGAUAUCAUUUGGAACGCCAAUGGUGAAAACAGCUCGCUGGGGGUUUGCUGACGCUGAGACACGAAAGCCAGGGGAGCAAACGGG